rnacentral:lncRNA from 1 species
AGUCUGGGUAUCAUCUUUUUUCCCCCAGCUAUGAGUAGGGAUAGCAGAACCACGAGGGAUAAGGGGUACUUUCCUCCUGGAAGGAUGAAGAUGUCUGCACACCAUCCUGUGUUGUGUAACUGGACCUGUUUCUAUAUCACACAAGUAACUGGCCCAGAGAUCCUCUGUCAGUUCCCAAAGACUACCCCUUGCAAAGGAAGCCAGAAACCCAAAGCCAGUGUUCUUGCUCCCAACUUCAAGGCUUUUCAAGUGCUCAUCUUCCAGAGAGGGAAUGUCUCAUAGUGAUGAGAGGGAUUUCUGUGCUUCCUGAUGCUUUUCCUGGUAUGUGAUUGCUCCCUUCCAAUCCACCUGUCUGCCCUUCUCUGCUGUCCCUGAGGCAUAUAUCCACCUCAGGCCCUUUGCACUUACUGAAUGGGAUGUUCUUCCCUCAGAUAACCCCAAGACUGGCUAUGUCCCUUCAUUUCUGACUCUACUCAAAUGCUGCGCUCCACAGAAGUGGCCUGCCCUCCAAGAGACCCUCACUUUGUUUUAGUUGUGCCUAUUAAUUGCUGCCUAUGCCUGAAGUGUUGCUGUGGACCAAGUCUGCUUUCGGCUUCCCUUUGAUAAUUUCACCUCUGCAGCAGAGACGCUUAGAUGUUGUGUUGACUGCUGUUUGUCGCACACCUAGAACAGCUGCCCAUGCCAUAGAGAUUCAUUCAGUACUGUCGGGGUGAAGGAAUGAAUGGGUAGAAAGAAGUCCAAGAGAGACUUGUGUGAAGGCCAUUGUCACUGUUGCUGUGAAAGUCCUCUGUUCUCCUCCCUGGGGAAUGACAGAAAAGCAGAGCUGACUGGGCUCCAACCCCGGUGAGGAAGCAGAGACUCACCUCUGACUGGGGAGGCUGCCUGGGACCAAUGGGCAUUUUACCCCCUCACCUCUGAUUAUUGAGCUGGGACCUUAAUUUACUGGGUCCAUCCCUGAGUUAGUUUCUCAAGCCUUCCUUGUGACAUAAAAUAUAUUUUCCAAACCAGCAAGCCCUAGGAACCAGGUGGGCCUUGAGUUUGGAUGUGGACAUGCUGGGGAGUCUCUGAAGGUUCGGAACGUGAUGCUCAGAUCCAAAAUUAGCGUGUUUGUGCUGUACUUUCUGUUCCUUUUCCUUUCCUUUCUUUGAAAGAAGCCUGGAGCUCAGGCUAGACCGGCUGCCCAGCACAGAGAUGACAACACACGCCACCAGGUUCUGCUUUGUUUCCACGUAGGAAUCUGGCCCAGACCCACACGCUAGGGUAGUCAGCACUUAACCAACUGAGCUGUCUCUCCAGCUCCAAGGUUUCCUAGGACACACUUCCCCGUGGUGGAAGCCCUCAUGUGAGGCUGGCGAAUCUGCUCAUCAUGCAACUGGGCGAGCAGCAGCACCCAAGGCUUCGUGGACAACACAGAGAUGCUUUAGGACUGAGGCUAGUAUCCUGGACAUACUGGGAGGGAUUCUGCCAGAAUGGAUUCCAGUACAGGAAGAACGCUUGCUGUUUCUCCAGGAAGUUCCUGCUCCACCACAGAAAAGAGAAACAAAUGGCUUCCAAUUCAGUUAAAUUGGAGGCAGCUUUCACCCUCCUGUUUCAGGAAGGUCUGUGUUGUCUGGGCCCUGUGGCCAUGGAAUGUCAACAGCCUCACCUUACCAGCAGGACACUGGGGGACUGUAAAGAGCUCACUGUGAUCAAAUUCUUCUGUCCCAGGUUUAUCUAAUUAAGUAGAUUCUUUUCAUUUUAACCAGAGCUACAUCAAACUGUAGGUGUCCCGUGUGUAGAUCAACCUGUGAGAAGAUCAGUUCCAGGAUAAGGAAUGGGUGCUCGAAUUGCCCUGAUGAACAAGGUUCCCAUUACAGUGGCACACAGAGGCAAAUCCUGCUAAUCCCAGCUCUGACUGUUUCCUCGGGAUUUGAAUAGUGGCCUGGAAUAUGCUCUUCUGCAUGCAGUUUCUGCACACCGAAGACACAGAGCAGCCAGGAGGCAGCUCUGUUCUCUGAAAAAUAUCCAUUCAGUUUUACAUUGUUGAGUAGCCACAUGCUAGAUACCAGGUAUCAACUCAGCCUCAGGCUGGCCAGAAAGAGAUGUAUGGACAGACAGUGGGACCGGUCCAAGAGAGGAAUGCUCCAGUCUGUUGGGUACCAACAUGUAUAACUCUCGUCCAAGUGUCUUCCUACUGAACCCUGGUGGCAAGGAUGUGUGACCACCAUGCUGACAGCUAGACCAUGACAUGUUCUGAGGAGAUGAGCAGAUGUCUAUUCAUCUCAGAUCACUACCAGUAAACCAAAGAAAUGACUCCACCCAAGACUAGCCAGGCUCAGUUUAAGUCCAAAGGCAUCAGACUCAGGAAGCCAAUGCUACAGCCCUCAGCCAGAGUCCAGGAGGCUGGGAAGCCAGGAAGUCACUGGAAUACAUUCUCCAGAGGAAGGUCAGAGAUCCUGGACCUCAUGGCCAAUGACAGAAGAAUGUGCCUAUUCCAACACAGAACAGAAGUGCUACUCUCCCCUUCUCCUUUCCUUCUGAUCCUCCAUUAAAUAGACAACAGAUUCCACCCUACCCCCAAGCCUACCCCCUCCCUCUAGGUUUCUCUGGAGAUACCUUCCAGACACACCCAGAAGUAUUUCUCAGUAUCCUGCAUUGAGGAAUGGACAACAUGCUGUGAUAUUUUAAGAUAUAUAUGGAAAUGUAGAGACCAGAAGCCAAAAAUAUGCCUGAAAGGCAUGAAGCAGGGAGAUGACCUCUCCUGAUUUUAAAACUUACUACAAACUCUAGCAGUCAGCCUGAGAUCAUUAAAAUAACCAAAUUCACUAGGAACCAAAGAAGAACAUGGUGGGUCCACAGGGGAGGGAGUAGUGGUAUUACUAUUUAAAGCACACAGUGGCUCAGUUUCACAGCACAGUAGAAGGCUUCUAAUGAUGGAUAAAGGUGAUGGCUGCACAAUGAUGUGCAAGUACUUAAUGUUACUGAGCUUUUUUAUCUAAAAGUGACAACCCAUAGAAAAUGGAAAACUACUAUAGUUGGGACUGUGGAGAUGUCAGCAUGAGGCAGAGAUACAGAUCUAUGGGACAAAAUUGAAAGUCUAUUUGUGGACUCUUACAUUGGUAAUCAGAUUUACCUUUGAAGAAAGAAUUGUCUUUUCAGCACAGGACAACUGGAAAUCCAUGUUCAAGAGAAUGAAUUUGCCCUGCCUCACAUGUAGCAAAAAUUAACUCAAGAAAUAUCAAUGGUUCAAAUGUAAGAAUUAAAAAUAGAAACUAUAUAGAAGAAAACAUAGCUAUAAGUUCCUAU